AGAUUGAACGCUGGCGGCAGGCCUAACACAUGCAAGUCGAGCGGCAGCACGGGUACUUGUACCUGGUGGCGAGCGGCGGACGGGUGAGUAAUGCCUAGGAAUCUGCCUGGUAGUGGGGGAUAACGCUCGGAAACGGACGCUAAUACCGCAUACGUCCUACGGGAGAAAGCAGGGGACCUUCGGGCCUUGCGCUAUCAGAUGAGCCUAGGUCGGAUUAGCUAGUUGGUGAGGUAAUGGCUCACCAAGGCGACGAUCCGUAACUGGUCUGAGAGGAUGAUCAGUCACACUGGAACUGAGACACGGUCCAGACUCCUACGGGAGCAGCAGUGGGGAAUAUUGCGCAAUGGGCGAAAGCCUGACGCAGCCAUGCCGCGUGAAUGAUGAAGGUCUUAGGA
rnacentral:rRNA from 1 species